ACGACGCGCCGCCGGCUGUGGGCGGGGCUUCCGGCUCUGCGAGUCACCGCGGCGGUUAGUGACUCAAGCACUUUGGAGCGCGGUUUCUGUCCCGGAACUGAAAGGGAGCAAUUUACAGUCCCCACCCCUCACCCGAAACCUCCGUACAGAGGCCUGUGAGGACAGAUGGCACACAGCUCCUGUAGGGAGCUGAGGUAAAACAUUUCCUGUCAGCCCCCGCCCAUGGGCCUGAAGCCCUUUUGGACAUGGCCAAGCACACCUCAUGGCACAAGAGGCCCCGACCUCCAGGUGUACCGGGUUGAGAAGUCCUUUCCUUGGAAAGUACCCAAGGCGAUCGUGGUCACAGACAGGGUGGAAAGUGACAGCCUCGCCACUGUGACCAACAGCACUUUCUUCUGAAACCCAACAGCAGCUACCUGAGCACCAACAUUCCCGGUGCCUGCAAUGUCAGUCGGCUUGGACCACUAACAAAACAGACGUGAUUGGCGUGCCUGGGAAAGCUAUGGAAGAGGCCCAGGCUUUGGACAGAUGGAAUAAACAACUGACUGGGCCAGUGCUGUGGGUUCCAGGCCCGGCUGCCGGACUUCCGAUCCAGCUCCCUGCUAAUGCACAAGGGAAAGCAGCGGAAUGGGGCCCAAGUGCACCGACGUGGGAGACCUGGAUGAAGCUCCUGGCUCUGGCCUGGCCCAGUCCUGGCUGUUGCAGCCAUCUGGGGAGUAAACCAGCAGAUGGAAGAUCUCUAUAUCUUCCCCUCUCUCUGUAAUUGACUUUCAA